rnacentral:misc_RNA from 1 species
GAUGAAGAACGUAGCGAAAUGCGAUAAGUAAUGUGAAUUGCAGAAUUCAGUGAAUCAUCGAAUCUUUGAACGCACAUUGCGCCCUCUGGUAUUCCGGGGGGCAUGCCUGUUCGAGCGUCAUUAUAACCACUCAAGCUCUCGCUUGGUAUUGGGGUUCGCGGUUUCGCGGCCCCUAAAAUCAGUGGCGGUGCCUGUCGGCUCUACGCGUAGUAAUACUUCUCGCGAUUGAGUUCGAUAGGUCUACUUGCCAGUAACCCCCAAUUUUUACAGGUUGACCUCGGAUCAGGUAGGGAUACCCGCUGAACUUAAGCAUAUCAAUAGCGGAGG